GUGAAUCAUCGAAUUUUUGAACGCAAAUUGCACUCUCUUCGGAGAGUAUGCCUGUGUGAGGGUCAGAAUAAAAAAAAUCGACAUAGUCGCUGUUUCGCGGUGACAUUCGUCGGAAAUUGGGUCAUCUUAAACCUUUGGGUUUUAAGCGGAUUAAAAUUUUCUUUACGAUUAUACGAACGUUUCUAAGAUUGACUUACACGAAUAAGGUAACGAUUUUUAUUAGACGUGGCCGUUGAAGCGGAUGAUGUUCAUAAAUAUUAC
rnacentral:misc_RNA from 1 species